rnacentral:rRNA from 1 species
ACGCUCGACACCUACUGGAGGCAGCAGUGGGGAAUAUUGCACAAUGGGGGAAACCCUGAUGCAGCAACGCCGCGUGAAGGAAGACGGUUUUCGGAUUGUAAACUUCUGUUCUUAGUGAAGAUAGUGACGGUAGCUAAGGAGCAAGCCACGGCUAACUACGUGCCAGCAGCCGCGGUAAUCUGAGCGGCUGGCAAGGC